AAACGUAGGUCCCGAGCGUUGUUCGGAUUCACUGGGUGUAAAGGGCGCGUAGGUGGUUGUCUGUGUCUCAUGUGAAAACUCAGGGCUCAACUCUGAGAUUGCGUGGGAAACUAGGCAGCUAGAGGACGGUAGAGGGGAGUGGAAUUCCCGGUGUAGCGGUAAAAUGCGUAGAUAUCGGGAGGAACACCGGUGGCGAAGGCGGCUCGCUGGGCCGAUCCUGACGCUGAGGCGCGAAAGCGAGGGGAGCGAACCGGAUUAGAUACCCGGGUAGUCCUAGCCGUAAACGAUGGGUGCUAGGUGUUGGGGGGUAAAGACCCUUCAGUGCCGAAGCCAACGCGAUAAGCAUCCCACCUGGGGAGUACGGCCGCAAGGUUGAAACUCAAAGGAAUUGACGGGG
rnacentral:rRNA from 1 species